GAUGAAGAACGUAGCGAAAUGUGAUACUUGGUGUGAAUUGCAGAAUCCCGUGAACCAUCGAGUCUUUGAACGCAAGUUGCGCCCGAAGCCAUCAGGUUGAGGGCACGUCUGCCUGGGCGUCACAUAUCGUUGCCCAAUGCCUAUUGCAGUGCAAUAGGAAUUUCUAGGGCGAAUGAUGGCUUCCCGUGAGCGUUGUUGCCUCGCGGUUGGUUGAAAAUCGAGUCCUUGGUAGGGUGUGCCAUGGUAGAUGGUGGUCGAGUUAGAACGAUACCGAUCAUGUGCAUGCUCCCCAAAAUAUGGCCUCUAUGACCCACACGCGUCUUUUGACGCUCAUGACGAGACCUCAGGUCAGGCGGGGCUACCCGCUGAAUUUAAGCAUAUCAAUAAGCGAGGA
rnacentral:misc_RNA from 1 species